rnacentral:rRNA from 1 species
AGAGUUUGAUCCUGGCUCAAGAUGAACGCCGGCGGUGUGCCUAAUACAUGCAAGUCGAACGCGUUGGCCCAACUGAUUGGACGUGCUUGCACGGACUUGACGUUGGUUUACCAACGAGUGGCGGACGGGUGAGUAACACGUAGGUAACCUGCCCCAAAGCGGGGGAUAACAUUUGGAAACAGAUGCUAAUACCGCAUAACAAUUUGAAUCGCAUGAUUCAAAUUUAAAAGAUGGCUUCGGCUAUCACUUUGGGAUGGACCUGCGGCGCAUUAGCUUGUUGGUAGGGUAACGGCCUACCAAGGCUGUGAUGCGUAGCCGAGUUGAGAGACUGAUCGGCCACAUUGGGACUGAGACACGGCCCAAACUCCUACGGGAGGCAGCAGUAGGGAAUCUUCCACAAUGGACGCAAGUCUGAUGGAGCAACGCCGCGUGAGUGAAGAAGGUUUUCGGAUCGUAAAGCUCUGUUGUUGGUGAAGAAGGAUAGAGGUAGUAACUGGCCUUUAUUUGACGGUAAUCAACCAGAAAGUCACGGCUAACUACGUGCCAGCAGCCGCGGUAAUACGUAGGUGGCAAGCGUUGUCCGGAUUUAUUGGGCGUAAAGCGAGCGCAGGCGGAAUGAUAAGUCUGAUGUGAAAGCCCACGGCUCAACCGUGGAACUGCAUCGGAAACUGUCAUUCUUGAGUGCAGAAGAGGAGAUCAGAACGCAAGGUGUAGCGGUGAAAUGCGUUGAUAUCUUGCGGAACACCGGAGGCGAAGGCGGAUCUCUUGUACGACACCGACGCUGAGGCACGAAAGCGUGGGGAGCAAACAGGAUUAGAUACCCUGGUAGUCCACGCCGUAAACGGUGCGCACUUGCCGUUGCCGGGAUAGGCCCCGGCAGUGGCGAAGCAAACGCGUUAAGUGCGCCGCCUGGGGAGUACGGUCGCAAGAUUAAAACUCAAAGAAAUGGACGGGGACCCGCACAAGCAGCGGAGCAUGUGGAUUAAUUCGAAGCAACGCGAAGAACCUUACCAGGGCUUGACAUCCUCUUGAAAGGUUGGGUAAAACCGACCCCUCUUCGGACAAGAGAGACAGGUGGUGCAUGGUUGUCGUCAGCUCGUGUCGUGAGAUGUUGGGUUAAGUCCCGCAACGAGCGCAACCCUUGUCUUUAGUUGCCAUCAGGUUAAGCUGGGCACUCUAGAGGGACUGCCGGGGACAACUCGGAGGAAGGUGGGGAUGACGUCAAAUCAUCAUGCCCCUUAUGUUCUGGGCUUCACACGUGCUACAAUGGUUGGUACAGAGAGAUGCAAGACUGUGAAGUGGAGCUAAACUCUAAAGCCAAUCCCAGUUCGGACUGUAGGCUGCAACUCGCCUACACGAAGUCGGAGUUGCUAGUAAUCGCGAAUCAGAACGUCGCGGUGAAUGCGUUCCCGGGUCUUGUACACACCGCCCGUCA